rnacentral:rRNA from 4 species
GUUUCCGUAGGUGAACCUGCGGAUGGAUCAUUG